rnacentral:rRNA from 1 species
UAGCAUACUCCUACGGGAGGCAGCAGUGGGGAAUAUUGGCCAAUGGGCGCAAGCCUGAUCCAGCCAUGCCUGAGAGAGUGAUGAAGGCCUUAGGGUUGUAAAGCUCUUCACCAGGGACGAUAGUGACGGUACCUAGAGAGUCGUCCGA